rnacentral:rRNA from 1 species
AUGAACGCUGGCGGCGUGCCUAAUCCAUGCAAGUCGAGCGAACGGACGAGAAGCUUGCUUUUCUGAUGUUAGCGGCGGACGGGUGAGUAACACGUGGAUAACCUACCUAUAAGACUGGGAUAACUUCGGGAAACCGGAGCUAAUACCGGAUAAUAUUUUGAACCGCAUGGUUCAAAAGUGAAAGACGGUCUUGCUGUCACUUAUAGAUGAAUCCGCGCUGCAUUAGCUAGUUGGUAAGGUAACGGCUUACCAAGGCAACGAUGCAUAGCCGACCUGAGAGGGUGAUCGGCCACACUGGAACUGAGACACGGUCCAGACUCCUACGGGAGGCAGCAGUAGGGAAUCUUCCGCAAUGGGCGAAAGCCUGACGGAGCAACGCCGCGUGAGUGAUGAAGGUCUUCGGAUCGUAAAACUCUGUUAUUAGGGAAGAACAUAUGUGUAAGUAACUGUGCACAUCUUGACGGUACCUAAUCAGAAAGCCACGGCUAACUACGUG